CCCUACGGGGCGCAGCAGGCGCGAAACCUCCGCAAUGUGAGAAAUCGCGACGGGGGGAUCCCAAGUGCCAUUCUUAACGGGAUGGCUUUUCAUUAGUGUAAAGAGCUUUUGGAAUAAGGGCUGGGCAAGACCGGUGCCAGCCGCCGCGGUAACACCGGCAGCUCUAGUGGUAGCAGUUUUUAUGGGCCUAAAGCGUCCGAG
rnacentral:rRNA from 1 species